rnacentral:rRNA from 14 species
AGCAGCCGCGGUAAUACGUAGGGCGCAAGCGUUGUCCGGAAUUAUUGGGCGUAAAGAGCUCGUAGGCGGUUUGUCGCGUCUGCUGUGAAAACCUAAGGCUCAACCUUGGGCUUGCAGUGGGUACGGGCAGACUAGAGUGCGGUAGGGGUGACUGGAAUUCCUGGUGUAGCGGUGAAAUGCGCAGAUAUCAGGAGGAACACCAGUGGCGAAGGCGGCUCUCUGGGCCUUUCCUGACGCUGAGGAGCGAAAGCGUGGGGAGCGAACAGGAUUAGAUACCCUGGUAGUCCACGCCGUAAAC